rnacentral:lncRNA from 1 species
ACAAAAUAUAGACAAAGCAUUGACGAUUUAUUGGAAAAUUAAUGGAAUAGAAAUGUUACCAGGAAGUAAAGUACUAACUAUCAAAGCAAAACAAUUAUGCGUAUUAAGCAAUAGACCAGAAAUAAAAAUAUAAGAAAAGGAUUAACAUAAGGAUUAACAUAUAUAAGUAAAAUCUUUGAACCUAUCCUAAAAGAAAUACCUAGGAAAGAACAAUUAUAUAUACUACCUAACCUAAACCAAGACUUAGAAUUAGUAACUUAUAAUUUAGAACAAAGAAGAAAUAUUCUUAAUAGAAGUAUAAGUAGAAGGAAUCAAAACAUAAUACCUAGCAUUAGGAAAAAUAUAUCGACGACUAUUCAGAAAACCAAUAUUAUAUAAAAGGAAGAAUAAUAAGAAAUGGAAUAAGAACACUAGUACCAAUCUUAAUUGCUACUAAUGCAGGAGAAAAUUAUAUAGCUGAACAAUUAAUAAGUGAGAUUGAUAAGAUAGAAGAAAGUUAUCACACAUAUACUAAUUUUAUUACACAACAAGAAGUAACAAGUAUCGGAAAAAUAAAUAGCCCAAUAGAAAUA